rnacentral:rRNA from 1 species
AUUGAACGCUGGCGGCAGGCCUAACACAUGCAAGUCGAGCGGAUGAAGGGAGCUUGCUCCUGGAUUCAGCGGCGGACGGGUGAGUAAUGCCUAGGAAUCUGCCUGGUAGUGGGGGAUAACGUCCGGAAACGGGCGCUAAUACCGCAUACGUCCUGAGGGAGAAAGUGGGGGAUCUUCGGACCUCACGCUAUCAGAUGAGCCUAGGUCGGAUUAGCUAGUUGGUGGGGUAAAGGCCUACCAAGGCGACGAUCCGUAACUGGUCUGAGAGGAUGAUCAGUCACACUGGAACUGGGACACGGUCCAGACUCCUACGGGAGGCAGCAGUGGGGAAUAUUGGACAAUGGGCGAAAGCCUGAUCCAGCCAUGCCGCGUGUGUGAAGAAGGUCUUCGGAUUGUAAAGCACUUUAAGUUGGGAGGAAGGGCAGUAAGUUAAUACCUUGCUGUUUUGACGUUACCAACAGAAUAAGCACCGGCUAACUUCGCG